rnacentral:rRNA from 1 species
UAGGGAAUCUUCGGCAAUGGACGGAAGUCUGACCGAGCAACGCCGCGUGAGUGAAGAAGGUUUUCGGAUCGUAAAGCUCUGUUGUAAGAGAAGAACGAGUGUGAGAGUGGAAAGUUCACACUGUGACGGUAUCUUACCAGAAAGGGACGGCUAACUACGUGCCAGCAGCCGCGGUAAUACGUAGGUGGCAAGCGUUGUCCGGAAUUAUUGGGCGUAAAGCGCGCGCAGGUGGUUUAAUAAGUCUGAUGUGAAAGCCCACGGCUCAACCGUGGAGGGUCAUUGGAAACUGUUAAACUUGAGUGCAGGAGAGAAAAGUGGAAUUCCUAGUGUAGCGGUGAAAUGCGUAGAGAUUAGGAGGAACACCAGUGGCGAAGGCGGCUUUUUGGCCUGUAACUGACACUGAGGCGCGAAAGCGUGGGGAGCAAACAGGAUUAGAUACCCUGGUAGUCCACGCCGUAAACGAUGAGUGCUAAGUGUUGGUCUCAUAAGAGAUCAGUGCUGCAGCUAACGCAUUAAGCACUCCGCCUGGGGAGUACGACCGCAAGGUUG